CAACGACAUUCUAUACUGAGAGGAAAAGUAAAACAGGUGCAUCUGAUAUUCUCUUUUGAUGAUAAGAGAUCUGAAGAACAAAUAUGAGAAGAAAGAUGGAGUCACGUUUAGUAAACACAAAUUCUAGGGUACGCAUCACGUGCAUCUUCACCACAGUUUCCUGAAAUGGUUUAGUAGCAUCUUCAUCAUGAAUUGCUGAAAUGGUUUAGUAGCAGUAAUGCUUUGCUCUUCCCAUUGAAAUUUCUUUGCAGCGUGAGAUCCUAGCUAAAAUCAAGGCAUCAUAAAUAGUUCUGCACUUUCUCAAUGGGAUAAGAAGAGACCUACAACAUAGAAUUUCCUGGCACUCCAACAAGUGAAGAGAAACUGAUUUGAAGAAUGGGUGUUUCAUCAAAUUUGAUUCGUUUUUCGUG